rnacentral:rRNA from 1 species
GUAAUACGUAGGUGGCAAGCGUUGUCCGGAUUUAUUGGGCGUAAAGCGAGCGCAGGCGGUUUUUUAGGUCUGAUGUGAAAGCCUUCGGCUUAACCGGAGAAGUGCAUCGGAAACCGGGAGACUUGAGUGCGGAAGAGGACAGUGGAACUCCAUGUGUAGCGGUGAAAUGCGUAGAUAUAUGGAAGAACACCAGUGGCGAAGGCGGCUGUCUGGUCUGCAACUGACGCUGAGGCUCGAAAGCAUGGGUAGCGAACAGGAUUAGAUACCCUGGUAGUCCAUGCCGUAAACGAUGAGUGCUAAGUGUUGGAGGGUUUCCGCCCUUCAGUGCUGCAGCUAACGCAUUAAGCACUCCGCCUGGGGAGUACGACCGCAAGGUUGAAACUCAAAGGAAUUGACGGGGGCCCGCACAAGCGGUGGAGCAUGUGGUUUAAUUCGAUGCUACGCGAAGAACCUUACCAGGUCUUGACAUCUUCUGCUAACCUAAGAGAUUAGGCGUUCCCUUCGGGGACGGAAUGACAGGUGGUGCAUGGUUGUCGUCAGCUCGUGUCGUGAGAUGUUGGGUUAAGUCCCGCAACGAGCGCAACCCUUAUUGUCAGUUGCCAGCAUUUAGUUGGGCACUCUGGCGAGACUGCCGGUGACAAACCGGAGGAAGGUGGGGAUGACGUCAAAUCAUCAUGCCCCUUAUGACCUGGGCUACACACGUGCUACAAUGGGCGGUACAACGAGUCGCGAGACCGCGAGGUCAAGCCAAUCUCUUAAAACCGCUCUCAGUUCGGAUUGCAGGCUGCAACCCGCCUGCAUGAAGUCGGAAUCGCUAGUAAUCGCGGAUCAGCAUGCCGCGGUGAAUACGUUCCCGGGCCUUGUACACACCGCCCGUCACACCAUGAGAGUUUGUAACACCCAAAGCCGGUGGGGUAACCGUAAGGGACCAGCCGUCUAAGGUGGGACAGAUGAUUGGGGUGAAGUCGUAACAAGGUAGCCGUAGGAGAACCUGCGGCUGGAUCACCUCCUUUCUAA